rnacentral:rRNA from 1 species
CUACGGGACGUUGCAGUGAGGAAUAUUGCACAAUGGGGGGAACCCUGAUGUAGCAACGCCGCGUGGAGGAUGACGCAUUUCGGUGUGUAAACUCCUUUUAUAUGUCAAGAAAAUGACGGUAGCAUAUGAAUAAGCACCGGCUAACUCCGUGCCAGCAGCCGCGGUAAUACGGAGGGUGCAAGCGUUACUCGGAAUCACUGGGCGUAAAGGACGCGUAGGCGGGUUGGAAAGUCAGGCGUGAAAUCCUACAGCUUAACUGUAGAACUGCACUUGAAACUUCUAAUCUAGAGUAUGGGAGGGGGAGAUGGAAUUAGUGGUGUAGGGGUAAAAUCCGUAGAUAUCACUAGGAAUACCUAAAGCGAAGGCGAUCUCCUGGAACAUUACUGACGCUAAGGCGUGAAAGCGUGGGGAGCAAACAGGAUUAGAUACCCUAGUAGUC